AACCCUAGACAGCAAACCACAAUACUUGAUCUUAUCUGAGCGGAGAGCGGGCCUCCGGAGGGGCAGCUUACCUCAAUCAUUGGGGCAGCUGAGCUGAGCCACCCUCCCUCUCCGGCCACCGUUGAGGGCUGCCGGCGGCUCUUACCCCCGUCCGCUGGCCAAAUCCCGCUGUGAAGACUGCCCGCGGUCGGAGCCCCAUCGUCAUUUCUUGAUUCGGGCAGUGAUGGCCUCGCGGGCUCCCCCCAACAAAACAAAAACCCUAAAUUUCACAAUCGACGCACUUUUCUUCUUCUUUGCAUGAGCUUGUGUUGAUCUGAUGUCGAUUAUCCCGCGAUUGCUGAGAAUUAGGGCAUACUGUUCUUGUUCUAGCUGAGUUUGCUCAUCGGACAGAAGGCCGAGCCGACCAAGUUUCGAACUUGAUGAGCUAGUAUUCUCGUAUUUCAUAGUAAAAGCUUCAAUGCUGAAAUGGGUGUUCUGUUGCUUGCUUGUGAUGUUUGUAUGUCUUGAUUGUUGCCAGCCAUAUAGAUAUUCGGGAAUCCUGCUUCGGACAUGAUCUGUCUUUUUUUGCUGUAUCGGUUGUGAUUUAAUCUAUGUUGGAGUUGCUUGUCAUCAUUGCUCACUGCAAGCACUCAGCUUUGAAUAAGAUAGUCUGGCAGCAGUACUACCGAUCGAUCUUCUAUGUAACAGUUAUGCGUCUAAUGAGUUGCCUUUGAGAGCUGAGUGCGUGAUGAGGGCAAACAAACCAUCGGCCCUUCUGUUGCUUUUGCAUUCUCUUCCUCGCAUCGAAUCAAUGCAUCAAAUGGAGAAGAGUCCUGGAUGCUGUUUGUUCAAUGUUCAACCAUGAAGAUUGUGAUGUUGCUCACGAGAUGUGGAAGAAUCACAGGCUGGAAAAUUGCUGUGACGAAGUAGAGACCAUUAACAUCGAUCAAUCCUAUAGAUGUGUUUUCCUGUUCAAGUUUAUCAGUUUCAAUCUCUAAAGACAUGGUCGGAUUUUGCCAUUGUACAUAUUUUUUCUCCAAUCAUGAGCUUUGGUUUCAUCAGUACAGUUUUCAUGCUCAUAAUGCAAUCUCCUAUUACCUUUUAGUUGUUCCA